rnacentral:rRNA from 1 species
UACAGAGGGGGCAAGCGUUGUUCGGAAUUACUGGGCGUAAAGGGCGCGUAGGCGGCCUGCUAAGUCGAACGUGAAAUCCCCGGGCUCAACCCGGGAACUGCGUCCGAUACUGGUAGGCUUGAAUCCGGGAGAGGGAUGCGGAAUUCCAGGUGUAGCGGUGAAAUGCGUAGAUAUCUGGAGGAACACCGGUGGCGAAGGCGGCAUCCUGGACCGGCAUUGACGCUGAGGCGCGAAAGCCAGGGGAGCAAACGGG